AUUGAACGCUGGCGGCAGGCCUAACACAUGCAAGUCGAGCGGAUGAGUGGAGCUUGCUCCAUGAUUCAGCGGCGGACGGGUGAGUAAUGCCUAGGAAUCUGCCUGGUAGUGGGGGACAACGUUUCGAAAGGAACGCUAAUACCGCAUACGUCCUACGGGAGAAAGCAGGGGACCUUCGGGCCUUGCGCUAUCAGAUGAGCCUAGGUCGGAUUAGCUAGUAGGUGAGGUAAAGGCUCACCUAGGCGACGAUCCGUAACUGGUCUGAGAGGAUGAUCAGUCACACUGGAACUGGGACACGGUCCAGACUCCUACGGGAGGCAGCAGUGGGGAAUAUUGGACAAUGGGCGAAAGCCUGAUCCAGCCAUGCCGCGUGUGUGAAGAAGGUCUUCGGAUUGUAAAGCACUUUAAGUUGGGAGGAAGGGCAGUAAGUUAAUACCUUGCUGUUUUGACGUUACCAACAGAAUAAGCACCGGCUAACUUCGUGCCAGCAGCCGCGGUAAGAC
rnacentral:rRNA from 1 species